GACGGAGGAUGCAAGCGUUAUCCGGAAUGAUUGGGCGUAAAGCGUCUGCAGGUGGCAGUUCAAGUCUGCUGUCAAAGACCGGGGCUUAACUUCGGAAAGGCAGUGGAAACUGAACAGCUAGAGUAUGGUAGGGGCAGAGGGAAUUCCUGGUGUAGCGGUGAAAUGCGUUGAUAUCCACAGGAACUCCGGUGGCGAAGGCGGCACGCUGGACCCCCACUGACGCUGAGGCGCGAAAGCCAGGGGAGCGAACGGG
rnacentral:rRNA from 1 species